ensembl:lncRNA
AAUCCCAACUGGAAGGCAGAGAGCCAGGGAGUCUGAGUUGGCCCAUGCAUCCCAGUCUCCUAGGCACGAGCCAGGAAGAAAGGGUUGGAAAGUGUAUCUGAGUGAUGGGCAAAGAAAAGAUAUCCAGCACUGUUGUUCUCAAGAGUUCAGUGAAUUCAUCCUCCUGUACUUGCCUGCAGGACAUCAGAACUCCCAGGAAUUGCUAUAUUAGCUGAGGCAUAUGAUGCCUGGAAGCCUGAAGAGACUCUUGGCGAGCCACUGUCUCCUGCAUGUGUGACCCAGGUCCCAUCACCCCCAGACUGAGGACAGCCUGCACUGUGAGUCUCGUCCAGUAGUGACGGCAGUGGAGAGGCUGCUGUAGGCACCCCACAGGAUUGCAUAAUGUUCUGGCUGAGCGCUGAAGAACUGAUGCUUUUGAACUGUGGUGUUGGAGAAGACUCUUGAGAGUCCCUUGGACUGCAAGGAGAUCCAACCAGUCCAUUCUAGAGGAGAUCAGC